UGCGAAGGAUUCGAGCGUUAUCCGGAUUUAUUGGGUUUAAAGGGUGCGUAGGUGGACUAAUAAGUCAGUGGUGAAAGCCCGGAGCUCAACUCCGGAACUGCCAUUGAUACUGUUAGUCUUGAGUACAGUUGAGGUGUGCGGAAUGUGUCAUGUAGCGGUGAAAUGCUUAGAUAUGACACAGAACACCGAUUGCGAAGGCAGCUCACUAAGCUGUAACUGACACUGAGGCACGAAAGCGUGGGGAGCAAACAGG
rnacentral:rRNA from 1 species